CCCUGCCUGCCUGCAGACCCCAAAAGAGGCUGAGAUUGUGCGGGGCCCCAGGCGCUGCAUGGUUUUGCUCUUGCACCUGAAGGAUGUAUACAAAGUAUGUAUACAAAGUGUGUAUACACAGUAUACCAAGUAUGUAUACACGAGGCUUGCGGCGGUGGUGGUGCAUGGCUCAGCAUGAGGUGCAUGCUCCUUCAGUCCAACAGUACCGGGGAGGUCUAUCAGCAGACUCUGGAGGACACCGACAUGUGGCUGUAGGUCUGGACCUGCUGACUCGGCCCGUAUCGCAACCAGUUAGUAGUACUUGGCUAAUAUUACCUCAGAAAAUGUUCGCGAAGGUCAAAGAAGUCAAUUAAAAAGGUAAAUAGAGGGUAAAACAAGCUGAAUGUGGAGGUAAAAUAAGGUAAAGGUAGUAAUUAAAAUGUAAGAGACUGUAAAUAAAGACAAUAUGCUUAAUAAAUGGUAAAUAGAAGGUAAAUCAAGCUGAAUAUGGAUGUAAAAGAAGGUAAAUGGAAGGUAAAUGUAGUAUAUAAAAUGUAAGAGAGGGUAAAUAAAGAUAAAAAAUUGAUAAUAAAAGGUAAAUAAAAGGUAAAACAAGCUGAAUAUGGAUGUAAAAGAAGGUAAAUAGAAGGUAAAAGUAUUAAAUAAAAUGUAAGAGACCGUAAAUACAGAUAAAAGAUGGUUAAUAAAAGGUAAAUAGAAGGUAAAACAAGCUGAAUAAGGAGGUAAAAGACGGUAAAGGUAGUAAAUAAAAUGUAUGACACGGUAGAUAAAGAUAAAAGAUGGUUAAUAAAAGGUAAAUAGAAGGUAAAACAAGGUGAAUAUGGAUGUUAAAGAAGGUAAAUGGAAGGUAAAAGUAGUAAAUAAAAUGUAAGAGACUGUAAAAGAUAAAAGAUGGUUAGUAGAAUGUAAAUAAAAGGUAAAUAAAAGUUAAAACAAGCUGAAUAAGGAGGUAAAAGAAGGUAAAUAGAAAGUAAAAGUAGUAAAUAAAAUGUAAGAGACGGUAAAUAAAGAUAAAAGAUGGUUAGUAGAAUGUAAAUAAAAGGUAAAUAGAAGGUAAAACAAGCUGAAUAAGGAGGUAAAAUAAGGUAAAAGUAGUAAAUAAAAUGUAUGAGAUGGUAAAUAAAGAUAAAAGAUGGUUAAUAAAAGGUAAAUAAAAGGUAAAACAAGCUGAAUAUUGAUGUAAAAGAAGGUAAAGGUAGUAACUAAAAUGCAUGAGACGGUAAAUAAAGAUAAAAGAUGGUUAAUAAAAGGUAAAUAGAAUGUAAAACAAGGUGAAAAUGGAAGUAAAAGAAGGUAAAUGGAAGGUAAAGGUAGUAAAUAAAAUGUAGGAGACGGUAAAUAAAGAUAAAAUAUGAUUUAUAAAAGGUAAAUAGAAGGUAAAACAAGCAGAUUAUGGAGGUAAAAGAAGGUAAAUAAAAGGUAAAUGUAGUAAAUAAAAUGUAAGAGACGGUAAAUAAAGAUAAAAUAUGGUU